AAAAGUUUACAGGAUAGUUUGCCUGGUAUUUUCUCAUGCUGCAACCCGUGUAUACAGCUUGCAUUCAUUUCAAGGGUAUUUUUACCACAAAGUGAGGGAAGACUACAGCCCUAACAUCUUUAGGUGUUUUGAAGAUCUGUACCUGCAGCUUCAAAACAGUGGUCUAAUCUCCGCUUCCAGUAAGGACAGCAGAAUUUGUGCUUGUUUAUGCACUUUGAUUUUCAGUUCUUUGUGUAUAAUUUUAGCUGUGGGUGGAGUAUCCUGAGCCAGAUUUCUCCCUAUGUGCUAUACAUACAGAAUGACAGAAAGACAUACACGAUUCUGUGCUAGAUUGACAGUGAAUUACAUUUGCUAGCAAAUACUGGAUCAGAGCCAUCUGUUUCAGAAAUUAGCAUAGCAGGGAUUUGUUUGUUUGGCUUCAUCUGUCUAUUAGUUUGGUCAAAAUCCUCUUGUUUUAGAGACACACUAUCACAGAGAGGACCUGUGAUAUGCUUUGUGCAGGCAGCCCCUGAAAUACAUAAAUUACACUGAAAAGUGGAGAUAAAAUGUGAUUGUCAGAAAUCCAGAGAAGGCUAAAUUCAGAUGUUAUUUCUUUUUUUUCCUGAAUGCAAGUUUGAUGUCCUCAGUGCACACUGUGUUAAAGAUCAUCUACCCCGAAACAGUGUGCUGAUAGAGAACUACUUCUUGCUGUACCAAAGUAGUGUUGCUGAACUUGUAGGUGCACUGUAUCUGUGUGUUUUGAGAGAAUUGCAGGAAUCCCUCUUGACUUACAGCCUCUACAGCUUUCCUUUGAAGAGGUAUUGAUAUUUCUAAAAAUUGAGAAGUCUAGCUCCAAACAACAGUGAAGAAAAGGGCAUCAAGCCAUUAAAUGAUAAGUAUCUCUUCUGUAAAAUAUCAAAUAGAAAACCAUCUGGAUCCAGAAGAGAAAGGGUUCAUGGUACAACAAAAUUCUUAUCCCCUUUCACAUGGGUAUGUGUGCAAGGAAGGAAAAAUAUUUGCAGAAGUACAUCAUUCCACCAGUGCAAAGAAGAUAAGCAAGAAGAGAGUGAAUAAAGCAGAAUUUUCUUUGUUACAGAGACUGCAUUUGAAGGGAUUGUAACAGCAGGUACAGCGCUGCCAAGUAGAAACAACCCUGGAUGUGCUGUAGAAGGUGGAGGCUUUCCCAAGGGUAACCUGGAGGAAUCUGGAGGGGUCAGGUGAACCCAGGCUGUCACCCAUUGAAGAAGCUCUGAGGAAACUCUGCAAGAUGGAUUGGUCACUGAAUUUGUAGCUACAUGGAUGUGUCUGUACCUGCCAUUUAAAUUGCAUUAUUUCAACUAAUAUGUAUCUAUAAAAAUAUCCCUAUUACUUGUAAAUGAGCUUUUUUAAAAGUACAUUUUGAAAUAAUACAUGGUCGAUGCAAGUUCCUUGGAAACUGCUACAGGGAAGAUGGCUCAAAAUGGAGUUUGCUCUGUGAAAGCAAAGGCCAUCGGGGUACCUACAGCUUGUCAGUGAUGGGCUAGUAAUGUACCAUUGAAUAGGGUGGACUAUCCAUCAGGCUUGUUUUGCCACUUUAAUUUCCUAACAAACACGGAACAGUAAUCAAGUUUCAGAUUCUAUUGAGAACUGGCUAUGUUACUUAAAGAACAAGUCUUCUGUGACCUCUGGAGCAUGUUAUUACUAAAAGAAGGGCAUAAUUGACUUUUUGGAUACACAAUUAUUUGUUCUUGCUGCUGUUGUCCCAUAACAGCAUGGAUUAUAAACCUUAUAUCCUAGUCAUGCAGGCAAAACUCUCUGUUACCUUAGCCCUGCUGUUUAAUUAGCUUUUACAAUUGGACAUUGUUUAUAUCCCAAUAAAUGUUGCCUGAGUAAAGACUUCCCCUUAACCAAUUAUACCAGAUGUUUUUCUGUGAAGGUCCUAAUUAAAUAGCAUCUAUUCUUAUGUUUGUUUUAAAACCUGCCUGUUGUGUAAAUCUCUGGAAGAGCACACUGUUAUACUGGGUUGCUUCACCAUUAUUUCUGUCAUUCCCUGGUUCACUGGUUGGUUGCAGCAUCUCCCUUUAAAAGUUGUUGCUUACUGUAUGGGAGGGAGGUC